CAGAUUAUUUCUUUAGUUGAGUUUUCAUUUACGCUGAAUUAUUAUGUCGUGCAAUUCGAUAUGGUCUGA
rnacentral:tRNA from 1 species